rnacentral:lncRNA from 1 species
GUUUAAACUUAAAUGAUUUGAUUCAUUAAUAUUUUUCCUAUAAAGAGGACAUGGACGUUUUCACCUAGGAAUAUUAAUGACAUGGACUAGAACUCCUAGGAAAAUUAGUCUGGGGACAUAAAUUACUAACAUCGGACAAAAAAUACUAGUAAAUUUUGUAACCAUGGACUUUUUCUACUAGUUAUAUGUGUCCGCCCAGACAUAUUUUACCAGGAC